rnacentral:rRNA from 1 species
UACGGAGGGUGCAAGCGUUAUCCGGAUUCACUGGGUUUAAAGGGUGCGUAGGUGGGCAGGUAAGUCAGUGGUGAAAUCUCCGGGCUCAACUCGGAAACUGCCAUUGAUACUAUCUGUCUUGAAUACCGUGGAGGUUAGCGGAAUAUGUCAUGUAGCGGUGAAAUGCUUAGAUAUGACAUAGAACACCAAUUGCGAAGGCAGCUGGCUACACGAAUAUUGACACUGAUGCACGAAAGCGUGGGGAUCAAACAGG